ACCCUUCUCGCGCGAGAGAAGGGCGCUUAAGGUAGCGUAAUACCUUGCCGCUUAAUUGGCGGCUUGCAUGAAGGGAUCAACGAGCCCCCCACUGUCCCAGCCCGGAACCCGGUGAACCCACAUAACCUAGCGAACAGUCUAGGGACCCCCAACGGGGAGAGAAGACCCUGUGGAGUUUUACUGCAGCCUGUGCCUGAGGUAUGGUCACGGGUGCAUAGCGUAAGUGGGAGCCGUUAAUCCCAACCUCUCCGGGGGUUGGGGUAGGCGCCAAUGGAACACCACUCACUCGCGGCUAUGCCCCUAACCAGCGCGGAAGCGCUGGAACAAGCAUAGGUGGGCAGUUUGGCUGGGGCGGCACGCCCCUGAAAAGGUAUCAAGGGCGCCCUAAGGUCGGCUCAGGCGGGUCAGAAAUCCGCCGUGGAGGGCAAGGCCAAAAGCCGGCUUGACUGUAUCCUCGAAAAUACGGGAUGCAGGAGCGAAAGCUGGGCCUAGCGAUCCUUCAUGUCCCCAUUGGUGGGGGCUGGAGGUGACAGAAAAAUUACCCCAGGGAUAACAGAGUUGUCACGGGCAAUAGCUCACAUAGACCUCGUGGCUUGCUCCCUCGAUGUCGGCUCUUCCUAUCCUGGUGGUGCAGCAGCCACCAAGGGUGAGGUUGUUCGCCUAUUAAAAGGGAACGUGAGCUGGGUUUAGACCGUCGUGAGACAGGUCGGAUUCUACCUGUUGGGGGUGUCGGCUGCCUGAGGGUAGGGCACCCCUAGUACGAGAGGAACAGGGUGCCGCGGCCUCUAGUCUACCGGUUGUCCGACAGGGCACUGCCGGGCAGCCACGCCGCAACCGAUAAGGGCUGAAAGCAUCUAAGCCCGAAGCGGGUCCCGAAAAGAGGCAGCCAUUCUCCAGCGCUGGCUCAACGCCGCCUGGGGCAGGUGACUGCCACGGGUCGCUGGGGACGAGGACUCCCAUAGAAGAUGGGUUUGAUGGAACCGGGGUGUACGCGCCGAGGUUCGCCGAGGCGUUCAGCCCGCGGUCCCCAACCGUCCGAGUGUACGGGUCC
rnacentral:rRNA from 1 species